rnacentral:lncRNA from 1 species
AUGUCCGAGUCCAAGAACGGCCCCGAGUAUGCUUCGUUUUUCGCCGUCAUGGCAGCCUCGGCCGCCAUGGUCUUCAGCGCCCCGCGCGCUGCCUAUGGCACGGUCAAGACCGGUGCCGGCAUCGCGGCCAUGUCUGUCAUGCGGCCGGAGCUGAUCAUGAAGUCCAUCAUCCCGGUGGUCACGGCUGGCAUCAUCGCCAUCUAUGGCCUGGUGGUGACAGUCCUCAUCGCCAGCUCCCCGAAUGACGACAUCAGCCUCUACAGGAGCUGCCUCCAGCUAGCGCCGGCCUGAGCGUGGGCCUGAGCGGCCUGGCAGCCGGCUUUGCCAUAGACAUCUUGGGGGACGCCGGUGUGCGAGCCACGGCCCAGCAGCCCCGACUAUUCAUGGGCAUGAUCCUGAUCCUCAUCUUCCCCGAGGUGCUCGGCCUGUACGGUCUCGUCGUUGCCCUCAUCCUCUCCACAGAGUAG